rnacentral:rRNA from 1 species
GACGAACGCUGGCGGCGUGCUUAACACAUGCAAGUCGAACGGAAAGGCCUCUUUCGGGGGGUACUCGAGUGGCGAACGGGUGAGUAACACGUGGGUAACCUGCCCUUGACUUUGGGAUAACUUCAGGAAACUGGGGCUAAUACCGGAUAGGAGCUCCUGCUGCAUGGUGGGGGUUGGAAAGUUUCGGCGGCUGGGGAUGGACUCGCGGCUUAUCAGCUUGUUGGUGGGGUAGUGGCUUACCAAGGCUUUGACGGGUAGCCGGCCUGAGAGGGUGACCGGCCACAUUGGGACUGAGAUACGGCCCAGACUCCUACGGGAGGCAGCAGUGGGGAAUAUUGCACAAUGGGUGGAAGCCUGAUGCAGCAACGCCGUGUGCGGGAUGACGGCCUUCGGGUUGUAAACCGCUUUCGCUCAUGACGAAGCUUUGUGUGACGGUAGUGGGUAAAGAAGCACCGGCUAACUACGUG